rnacentral:rRNA from 1 species
AGCAUAUCAAUAAGCGGAGGAAAAGAAACCAACAGGGAUUGCCUCAGUAACGGCGAGUGAAGCGGCAAGAGCUCAAAUUUGAAAGCUGGGCCUUUCAGGUCCCGCAUUGUAAUUUGCAGAGGAUGCUUCGGGAGUGGUCCCCAUCUAAGUGCUCUGGAACGGGCCGUCAUAGAGGGUGAGAAUCCCGUAUGGGAUGGGGUGUCCACGCCCGUGUGAAGCUCCUUCGACGAGUCGAGUUGUUUGGGAAUGCAGCUCUAAAUGGGUGGUAAAUUUCAUCUAAAGCUAAAUAUUGACCGGAGACCGAUAGCGCACAAGUAGAGUGAUCGAAAGAUGAAAAGCACUUUGAAAAGAGAGUUAAAAAGCACGUGAAAUUGUUGAAAGGGAAGCGUUUGCGACCAGACUCGCCUCUAGGGUUCAACGUGUAUUCGAACACGUCUACUUCCCUUGGGGCGGGCCAGCGUCGGUUUGAGCGGCCGGUAAAAGGCUCUCGGAAUGUAACGCCUCUCGGGGCGUCUUAUAGCCGAGGGUGCCAUGCGGCCAGCUCAGACCGAGGAACGCGCUUCGGCUCGGACGCUGGCAUAAUGGUCGUAAACGACCCGUCUUGAAACACGGACCAAGGAGUCUAACAUCUACGCGAGUGUUCGGGUGUCAAACCCGUGCGCGCAGUGAAAGCGAACGGAGGUGGGAACCCUUUAGGGUGCACCAUCGACCGAUCCUGAUGUCUUCGGAUGGAUUUGAGUAAGAGCGUAGCUGUUGGGACCCGAAAGAUGGUGAACUAUGCCUGAAUAGGGCGAAGCCAGAGGAAACUCUGGUGGAGGCUCGCAGCGGUUUCUGACGUGCAAAUCGAUCGUCGAAUUUGGGUAUAGGGCGAAAGACUAAUCGA